rnacentral:rRNA from 1 species
AUUGAACGCUGGCGGCAGGCCUAACACAUGCAAGUCGAACGAGCGGCGGACGGGUGAGCAAUGCCUGGGCACCUGCCUGAGGGAGGGGGAUAACUACCGGAAACGGUAGCCACAACCGCACACCAUCAGAUUUGCCCAGAUGGGAUUAGGUUGUUGGUGGGGUAACGGCACACCAAGGCGACGAUCCCUAGCUGGGCUGAGAGGAUGACCAGGCACACUGGAACUGAGACACGGUCCAGACUCCUACGGGAGGCAGCAGUGGUGAAUAGUGCACAAUGGGCGCAAGCCUGAUUCAGCCAUGCCGCGUGUAUGAAGAAGGCCUUCGGGUUGUAAAGUACUUUCAGCGGGGAGGCGUUACCCUCAGAAGAAGCACCGGCUAACUCCGUGCCAGCAGCCGCGGUAAUUC